rnacentral:rRNA from 1 species
GACGAACGCUGGCGGCGUGCUUAACACAUGCAAGUCGAACGGAAAGGCCCUGCUUUUGUGGGGUGCUCGAUUGGCGAACGGGUGAGUAACACGUGAGUAACCUGCCCUUGUCUUUGGGAUAACUUCAGGAAACUGGGGCUAAUACCCGAUAGGAUCUCCUGCUGCAUGGUGGGGGUUGGAAAGUUUCGGCUGUUGGGGAUGGACUCGCGGCUUAUCAGCUUGUUGGUGGGGUAGUUGCUUACCAAGGCUUUGACGGGUAGCCGGCCUGAGAGGGUGACCGGCGUCCAUGGGACUGAGAUACGGCCCAGACUGCUACGGGAGGCAGCAGUGGGGAAUAUUGCACAAUGGGCGGAAGCCUGAUGCAGCAACGCCGCGUGCGGGAUGACGGCCUUCGGGUUGUAAACCGCUUUCGCCUGUGACGAAGCGUGAGUGACGGUAAUGGGUAAAGAAGCACCGGCUAACUACGUG